rnacentral:misc_RNA from 1 species
GAAAUGCGAUAAGCAAUGUGAAUUGCAGAAUUCAGAGAAUCAUCGAAUCUUUGAACUCACAUUGCGACCGCCAUCACUCUGGCGGGCAUGCCUGUUCGAGCGUCAUUCCAACCAUCAAGCCCCCGGGCUUGCGUUGGGGACCUGCGGCUGCCCGCAGGCCCUGAAAACCAGUGGCGGGCUCGAUGUCACCCCGGUCGUAGUAGUAUCAUCUCGUCCAGGGCGUGGCUGCGCGCUCCGGCCGUUAAACCUUCUCAAACCCAAAGGUUGACCACGGAUCAGGUAGGAAUACCCGCUGAACUUUA